UAGGGAGACCAUCUGAUAGUCGACCGAACCUAAACAAUAGGUCGUUGUCAGUCAUCCCUGGUCGUUCGAGGCAUAGAUGUCAAAGCUUUCAAACUAUUAACUGGUUCGGAACUCGCGGGCUAUUAGCUCAGUUGGUUAGAGCGCACCCCUGAUAAGGGUGAGGUCCCUGGUUCAAAUCCAGGAUGGCCCACCUGGAAAAAAGUGAUGAAUUGUCAGUAAUGAGUAAUGGAUAAUCAAUGAUUAAUUCAGAAUUAAUUCAGGACUCAUACAAUCAAAAUCAGAACUUACUUAGUGGGGGUAUAGCUCAGUUGGUAGAGCGCCUGCCUUGCACGCAGGAAGUCAGCGGUUCGAGUCCGCUUACCUCCACUCUCACUAACUAUUACCACCGCCAAAAAAACCAAAAAAAAUAGAAAUCAGCACCCAGACUAACUUGGUCAAAAAAGAAGUCGGAAUGCUGGAGUCUAGAACUCUAGUCAGAACCUUGAAAACUGCAUAGAAAUUAAGUCAUCAAAGCGUGUCAGUCAUCCGAGAAAUCGGAGUAUCUGACCAGCGACCACCAUGAAAAAAUCAAGU
rnacentral:tRNA from 1 species